UACGUAGGGUGCAAGCGUUAAUCGGAAUUACUGGGCGUAAAGCGUGCGCAGGCGGUGAUGUAAGACAGAUGUGAAAUCCCCGGGCUCAACCUGGGAACUGCAUUUGUGACUGCAUCGCUAGAGUACGGCAGAGGGGGAUGGAAUUCCGCGUGUAGCAGUGAAAUGCGUAGAUAUGCGGAGGAGCACCGAUGGCGAAGGCAAUCCCCUGGGCCUGUACUGACGCUCAUGCACGAAAGCGUGGGGAGCAAACAGG
rnacentral:rRNA from 1 species